rnacentral:rRNA from 1 species
ACGCUCGACACCUACGGGAGGCAGCAGUGGGGAAUAUUGCACAAUGGGGGAAACCCUGAUGCAGCGACGCCGCGUGAAGGAAGAAGUAUCUCGGUAUGUAAACUUCUAUCAGCAGGGAAGAAAAUGACGGUACCUGACUAAGAACGCCCCGGCUAACUACGUGCCAUCAGCCGCGGUAAUCUGAGCGGGCUGGCAAGGC